CAGUAGCCGCGGUAAUACGAAGGGUGCAAGCGUUACUCGGAAUUACUGGGCGUAAAGCGUGCGUAGGUGGUUCGUUAAGUCUGAUGUGAAAGCCCUGGGCUCAACCUGGGAAUUGCAUUGGAUACUGGCGAGCUAGAGUGCGGUAGAGGGUAGUGGAAUUCCCGGUGUAGCAGUGAAAUGCGUAGAGAUCGGGAGGAACAUCUGUGGCGAAGGCGACUGCCUGGACCAGCACUGACACUGAGGCACGAAAGCGUGGGGAGCAAACAGGAUUAGAGACCCCUGUAGUCCCUGUCUCUUAUAC
rnacentral:rRNA from 1 species